CGAAAGUCGUUACAUAUAAUCAGAUGGGAUAGUGCGGUGCUGGGGGCAGACCAGAGGCUCUCAGAGCUGCUAAACCCAAUCUGGGGAGGUCAGGGAAGGCUGCCCGGAGGGAGUGACAUUGGGUUGAGAGCUAACGGACAUAUAGAAGUUAGCAAGGCCAGUAGGGCCUGGAAUGUCCCAGGCAGAGGGAACACCACGUGCAAAGUCCCUGAAGUGACAGCCACCGGUGGGGAGCUGAGAGACGCCAGAGCAAGGAGAGGCUGGGGUGAGAUGGGGUCAGAGAGAUGGUCAAGCCUUGCAGUUAAGACCUUGGGUUAAGAAUUUUGGAUUUUUUCCUGGAGGUCAUAGGGAGCCUCUGAAGGCUAGUGGCCUGAUUUGCGUUUGAAGAAUUUACCCUCUGGAGAAAACGGAUCAGAGGGCCAGGCAUGAAGAACAGAGAGACUGGUUAGGAGGCUAUUCAGUCAUCCAGGUCCAGAACAGCGCGAGGUCCCUUUUGAGUAAGUGUUCAGCGAAGACUUGGGAACCAAAGCACACUGAUUAAGGACCUACUUCAAGGUCAGAUGUGGGUUUGAAAUUUCAUUCUAGCACUUACUACCUGUGUGACCUUGGGCAAGUUAAAUAUCCUUUCUGAACCUGUUUUUUUCACAGAAAAACACAGAUAAUCAUAACACCUACAUUAACAAGGAUUCAUCAGAAGUUUCAAUGUGGGAACACGUGUAAAGGGUCUAGCAUGGAACCUGGCCGACUGUAGGCAUUCAAUAAAUGUUAGCCUGAGGUUGAAGGAGAAAGAGCAGACCUUAUCAGAUAAUCUUAGAAUAGGGGCCUUUCUUUUUUCUUAAAAAAAAAAAUCAUCUUUAAACAUUCUCCAAUGCAUGUGAAAUAAUUUUUAAAUAGUGUCAUGGGCUAAUAGUGAAUUAAGUUAUGGUAGACCCAUAUUAUGGAAUACUGUAUCACAAUGAAAUAAUAAAUUGUAUCUAUUAUGUACACACAUGGACAGAUGACCAUGAUUGUUACAGGGUAAGAAAAAAAAGCAAACAUCAGAAUAUGAAUAGUUCCCCUCUCUCCUUCUAAAAAAUUAUAUGGCCGGGCAGAGUGGCUCACACUUGUAAUCCCAGCGCUUUGGGAGGCUGAGGCAGAAGGACCGCUUGAGGCCAGGUGUUUGAGACCAGCCUAGGAAACAAAGCAAAAAAAAAAAAGCCAGGUGUGGUGGUGCAUAGCUGCAGUCCCAGCUACUCAGGAGGCUGAGGUGGGAGAAUUGCAUGAGCCAAAGAGUUCAAGGCUGCAGUGAGCUAUGAUUGUGCCACUGCAUGAUGGGCGACAGAGUGAGACACUGUCUCAAAGGCAAAACAAAAUGAAACGAACACACACACACACACACACAUAUAUGCACAGAGAAAGGAGGUCUGGAAAGAUAUAUACCUAAUUUUAAAGGAGUAGGGCCUGGUGAGAUUUUUUUUUUAACUUUCUGCAUUCCAACUUAUUUUGUAAUUUCCAACACACACACACACACACACACACACACACACACACACACACACACACACACACCAGACAGGAAAAAAAUUCUCAAAUUCUCUCUGGCCUGAAUAUUUCAUAGGACUUUGAAAGUCAUUAAACUGAAUAGAAGAGGUGGUUAAUUCUUCUGGCAAGUGUGAGAAUUUCCAUACCCAGUGUUUCUUUUUGAGAGAGGCUGUAGGAGAGAAGAGAUGGAGAAUGAAUUGCUCCAGCAUUACUCAUUCUCAGCACAUCCAAACAGGUAGUCUCAUUCUUGUCCCUGUCACCACUACAGCCCUGACACAGAGUCACAGAGAAACUCUUUGAUAAAUGUCAACUGAAAUUGAGUAAUCAUCUGAAAGCCAUUUGCUGAGCUGUCUGACUGCCCUGGGCUCGAGGUUUUCCUUUAUUCAUUUAUCAUGAUACAGCUUUGGCCAACAUACACACAGGAGAGAAAUUGUUGACAUGUGGAACCCAAGUACAGAAAAUCUUUCAUUUUCCUCCCUGUCUGUUCACCAAAUAAGUUUUUGUUUAUUUAAAGACUACAGAGGAUUUGGCUGUUAAGAACCAAAUGCCUUUGGAGUGGAAUUACAACAUAAUUUAUCAUUUCCUCUGUUUAUUAAAAAAUCCUGCAUCUUUGAGAAGCACAUUUGCAGUGAGUGGGGGAUUUCGGCCACUCAUGAAAGACUGUUGAGACUGUGUUAGUUUAACUUUGACCCAAUUUUGACCUUGAAUCCUCACUGCAUGUUUCACCAGUGUAAGUAAAGAGGGAAGUGCAACCCUUAUUACCUCCAGCACAGGAGAGAAUCUGGAGGAAGUCAAAGAGCAAAGAGAAGUUGGAUGUUGCUUUGAAAGAACUCAGCCAGGCCUUGCCACCACCAAAGUGGGCUCCAUUCUGAAAGCAGACACCUUGCAGAACUGGAAUGAACUUCCUACUUUUCCACCCAAUAGAUUAUUAUAGACAGCAAUUUAGUUCAGUGCACUAUGUACCCCCCCAAAACAGGGGUCAUAUCUUUCCCAUUUUUGUAUUGCCAGUACAUAGUUCAGCACCUGACAAACAAUUGGUGCUCACUAAAUGCUAAUGAAGGCAGCAGGACACAGUGGUUCCUUCCAGAUUGGUGAGGUGCUGAGAGAGUGUGAGCCCAGAGAAGGCAUGGAAGCUCCACACCCUCUCCCUCUCCCUCAACCUUGCCCUGUGUACCUCCUUCAUUGGGCUGUUCAGCUGUAUCUUUUAUAAUAAACCAGUGAACGUGUUUCCCUGAGUUGUGUGAGCUGUCCUAGGAAAUUAACUGAACCAAAGGAAAUCAAGGACUCUAGUUUGUAGUUGGUCAGUCAGGAGUAUGGGUGGCCCAGACUCAUGACUGGCAUCAAAAGUGUUGGCAGUCUUGGGAGAUGGAGCCCUCAACCUGUGGGAUCUGACACUAUUUCCAGGUAAUGUCAGAAAUGAAUUGAAUUAUAGGAUACCCAGUUGGUGUCUGCUGGAGAAUUGCUUGGUGUGUGGGGGAAACAAACUCACACACCUUGUCACAGAAGUGUUCCAUGUUGAGUGUGAAAGUACAAAAGGAAAAAAAGUUUGUUUUUUUCCUUUUACAUUAGCACAUCAGGCCUCAAUUUGAAUGCCAGCUCUGCUACUUGCUAGGUGUGUAACCCUGCACAAGAAACUUCACCUCUAUGUAAAUGACGCUGACAAUGAAUCAUGAAAACCUUCUACCACUGAUCAGCUUUGCUUUGUUACUUUGGGCAAAUUACCUAAUACUGUCAAGACUUAGUUUUCCUAUUUGUAAAUGAAGAUAAUACACAUCUCUUAAGUUUACUGUCAAGAUUAUAAAUAAUGCCUAGAACUAUACCUAACUCAUAAUGGCUAUAUUAGGAAUGAAUGAAUGAAUAAAAAAUAAUUGGAGGGAAAAAAACCUAAUAACCCAGUAUCCGAAGAUAAGCCACAAUAAACUACUUGUCUGUCAACAAUGGGCAGGCCCUGCAGGAAAGGUAUGUCACUACCAAGUAAAUGUUGAGAACAAGUACAAGAGUGGAAAAUGAUAGAAAGGGAGUGUUAAGACUAGAAAGAAAAGAAGUCAGCAUUUGCUGGGUAGCUACUAUGUGCAAUUUAUUCACGAUACAACAUAUGACUGCCUACUAUGCUCCAGGCAUUACACAAAGUUCUGAGGAUAUACAGGC
rnacentral:lncRNA from 10 species